rnacentral:lncRNA from 1 species
GGGUUAGGCUGGGGGAAUGAGUAUUCAUUUUUUUCUCCUGACAUUGUCUCUUAAGAAGAAAGUGCUGGCUGGCAUCUUUAAUGCGGGUUGUGAGCCUAAUUACAUAAGCAUGAGCCAGAAGGGAGAGGACUUUGCUCCCUGGCCUUUAAGAAGUGCCUCGUAGGUAAUCAUGGAAGUCACAGGUAAGUGCAGGAGCUUGACCGUAGGCAAGAGGUCUCUAAGGUGUUCUUUUCCUUUGUCUGAGUGUAUAGUAUUACGAUGCCUAGAAGGGGGGCGCUGUUGGCCCUCCCUUACAGGCACUUUCUAUUUCUUGCUGUAACUACAGCAAUCACAUACAGUACAGACAACCUCAAUCUGUUUAUAUUAGCAUUUUGGGAAUGCUUCUAUACUCUGUUCUACUUUGUUAAUGGGGAAUAACAGCACAUCCUAGAUCACCUGUGAACUUUGGGGUCUUCUGAUUGCCCUUGGUAUCCUGAUAUUCUCAUUUCCAAGAUGAGGUAGAGACAGGGUUUCCUUGCAUAACAGAUUUGAGCACCUGCGUUCUGCAAACACAAUCUCAAGAGCAGUUCCAUAGCUCAGCUAGCCAUUGCUGCCCCGAUGCUUGCCCUCCACCAACGGAGGUCGCCUCUGCAGAGUCUACACUUUGCCCAUAACCCUCAUUCCCCAGACCUAGGCUUUGAGUAACUGCUCUGAUUCUGUCCGCCCACCCACCAGUGACUCACCACUCUGCACACUCCCAUCUUCAGAGAUGCGGAGUCUCUCAGGACAGCAGCUUCAGAUCAUGGUAUACAGAUACCAGUAGAAGAAUCGGACAUUGUACUGCCCUUAGCACCUUAACUCUACUUAACAAUCACAACUAGAUUCAGAAAUACAAGAAAGAUAUAUAGACUAUGUCAGGUCCUUAAGUUAGGAAUUAGGACCAAAGGCUAUUAACUUACAUUCACAUUAUCCUCAUGUAGCCAAGAGUGGUGAUGUUUUGGAGAAUACCAGUCCAGCCAGGCUAACAUGAAGAUGACAGAACUGUGGUGUUGAGCCUGAAGACAUCCUAAAAUGGUUUCCCUUGCUCCAUUUUUCUUCACAUUUGCUUACAUAGCAAAGACCAGCAUUAAAUGUCUAAAGGAAUUUUUAAUUUGAGAGCUAGUAUUACAAAAUAAACCUGCUAAAACGGGCUUUAAAAGACAGCAAAAUAAGCCAUAUGUAGUGGUGUUAAAACUAAUCCCAGCACUCAGGAAGCUGAGACAGGAGACUCGCUGGGCAUACAAGGUCAACCUGGGAUAAAUAGUAUCAGCCACCAUGACUACAAAGGGAAAGACUGUCACAAAGGAAAAGAAGAAGGAAGGAAAAGCCAGCAGUCAACCAUCAUGUGUUUCUGUAGAUUCAGAUGUGAUAGAUUCAGGAUGCUUCUUAUAAAACAUCUGUGUCAUGUUCCUUAAAGCAGGUGCGCUCCUUUAAGACCAUGACAGUAGGCUAAGGGAAAGAGUGAAAUCCAACACUCAAAGUGAGAGCUUAUAUUUAACCCUAAAGUGGAUUGAAAUCGGGGAGAGAUGUAAUACAGGAUACAGGUGGGCUAAUUA